GGUACCUUCGGGUACUGGAGAGUGGCGCACGGGUGAGUAACGCGUGGGGACCUCCUCUUAGUGGGGGAUAACGGUUGGAAACGACCGCUAAUACCGCAUACGCCCUUCGGGGGAAAGAUUUAUCGCUAAGAGAUGGACCCGCGUUGGAUUAGAUAGUUGGUGAGGUAACGGCUCACCAAGUCAGCGAUCCAUAGCUGGUUUGAGAGGAUGAUCAGCCACACUGGGACUGAGACACGGCCCAGACUCCUACGGGAGGCAGCAGUGGGGAAUAUUGGACAAUGGGGGCAACCCUGAUCCAGCCAUGCCGCGUGAGUGAAGAAGGCCUUCGGGUUGUAAAGCUCUUUCAGAUGCGAAGAUGAUGACGGUAACAUCAGAAGAAGCCCCGGCUAAUUUCGUGCCAGCAGCCGCGGUAAUACGAAAGGGGCUAGCGUUGUUCGGAUUUACUGGGCGUAAAGGGCACGCAGGCGGUCUUGCCAGUCAGGGGUGAAAGCCCGAGGCUCAACCUCGGAACUGCCUCUGAUACUGUAAGACUUGAGACUAGGAGAGGGUGGUGGAAUUCCCAGUGUAGAGGUGAAAUUCGUAGAUAUUGGAGGAACACCAGA
rnacentral:rRNA from 1 species